rnacentral:rRNA from 1 species
CUCGCCAUGGCGUUCGAUCCGUAACGUGGUCUGAGAGGAUGAUCAAGUCACACUGGAACUGAGACACGGUCCAGACUCCUACUGGAGGCAGCAGUGGGAAUAUUGGACAAUGGGCGAAAGCCUGAUCCACUCAUGCCGCGUGUGUGAAGAAGGUCUUCGGAUUGUAAAGCACUUUAAGUUGGGAGGAAGGGCAGUUACCGUAAUACGUAAUUGUUUUGACGUUACCGACAGAAUAAGCACCGGCUAACUCUGUGCCAGCAGCCGCGGUAAUACAGAGGGUGCAAGCGUUAAUCGGAAUUACUGGGCGUAAAGCGCGCGUAGGUGGUUUGUUAAGUUGAAUGUGAAAUCCCCGGGCUCAWCCUGGGAACUGCAUGCCAAAACUGGCAAGCUAGAGUAUGGU